rnacentral:rRNA from 1 species
GUUGGUAAAUUUCGUGCCAGCCACCGCGGUCAUACGAUUAACCCAAAUUAAUAGAUUCCCGGCGUAAAGCGUGUUUAAGAGAAUAGACAAAAUAAAGAUAAAUACUAGAUAAGCCGUAAAAAGCCCCAGCUAUCAUAAGAUAAAUUACGAAAGUAACUUUAGAACAUCUGAACACACGACAGCUAAGACCCAAACUGGGAUUAGAUACCCCACUAUGCUUAGCCAUAAACCUAAAUUUAUCUAAUAAACAAGAUAAUUCGCCAGAGUACUACUAGCAAAAGCUUAAAACUCAAAGGACUUGGCGGUGCUUUAUAUCCAUCUAGAGGAGCCUGUUCUAUAAUCGAUAAACCCCGAUAAACCUCACCAACCCUUGCUAACUCAGCUUAUAUACCGCCAUCUUCAGCAAACCCUAAAAAGGACUCAUAGUAAGCAUAAACAUUAAACAUAAAAACGUUAGGUCAAGGUGUAGCCAAUGAGUUGGGAAGAAAUGGGCUACAUUUCCUGUCACAGGACAUCUACGAAUAUCUCUGUGAAACCAGAGAUUUAAGGUGGAUUUAGCAGUAAGUUAAGAAUAGAGAGCUUAACUGAACAAGGCCAUGAAGCACGCACACACCGCCCGUCACCCUCCUCAAGUACUGUUAACAACGCURAUUAACCUAUAAGCUACUUAAACAAAAACUUAUGAGAGGAGAUAAGUCGUAACARGGUAAGCGUACUGGAAAGUGCGCUUGGACAAC